rnacentral:misc_RNA from 1 species
GAUGAAGAACGUAGCGAAAUGCGAUACGUAAUGUGAAUUGCAGAAUUCGGUGAAUCAUCGAGUCUUUGAACGCACAUUGCGCCCCCUGGUAUUCCGGGGGGCAUGCCUGUCCGAGCGUCAUUGCUGCCCUCAAGCACGGCUUGUGUGUUGGGCCUCCGUCCUCCUCCCGGGGGACGGGCCCGAAAGGCAGCGGCGGCACCGCGUCCGGUCCUCGAGCGUAUGGGGCUUCGUCACCCGCUCUUGUAGGCCCGGCCGGCGCUUGCCGACACAUCAAUCUUUUUUCCAGGUUGACCUCGGAUCAGGUAGGGAUACCCGCUGAACUUAAGCAUAUCAAUAAGCGGAGGA